AUGAAGCCACGCGUGACGUCAUCACGCACUUACGCACGCACUAGCCGCCAGGAGACGCUGUUCAGUUUACGGGUCCUGACGCCCGCUAGCCCACCAGGCCAGCAGGGGAGCUGGAGACCGGCAGCCUGGACAAACGACCGGAAGGAGGAAAAGGAACCGGAGGGAGGAAAAAGAAGAGGGGCGGGACAAGGCCAUCAGGCAGGAGUUUUAAGCUCAGAGCUGCGACACCAGCAGGGCUAUUUUGGACUCAGUAUUCACCUAAGCCCUCCAAAUUGUCCAGCAAGCUCACGUUGCUCAGCCUUUGAAUCCCUUCCUUCACCGUCUGCAGUGACAAUCCGGGCCUUUCACCGUCACUCAGGCAUGGACCAUCGCUGUUGCCCAUGCCAUGCCAUGCCAUCAACAGGCCCGGCACAUCCUGCCCACGCGGCGCAGUGCUGCAGCUUCCCUCUGGUCACGGGUCUGGCCGUCGGCUCGCCAAUUCCUCCAGCUUCCAUGGGACUCUCCGGGUGUUAGCACUGCAAGUUCCUCAGCAAACUGGGACUGUCGGUCGCCUACCUGGCAGCCAGUGAUAAGAGUCCUGAACUCCCAUCCCUACCUCAGAAGAGACUCCUCUGUUCACAGAAGCUAA
rnacentral:lncRNA from 13 species